CAGCAGCCACGGUAAUACGAAGGGUGCAAGCGUUAAUCGGAAUUACUGGGCGUAAAGCGUGCGUAGGCGGUUUGUUAAGUCUGUUGUGAAAUCCCCGGGCUCAACCUGGGGAUGGCAAUGGAUACUGGCAAGCUAGAGUGUGUCAGAAGAUGGUGGAAUUCCCGGUGUAGCGGUGAAAUGCGUAGAGAUCGGGAGGAACAUCAGUGGCGAAGGCGGCCAUCUGGGACAACACUGACGCUGAGGCACGAAAGCGUGGGGAGCAAACAGGAUUAGAUACCCGCGUAGUCCCUGUCUCUUAUAC
rnacentral:rRNA from 1 species